UGACCCAGGGGCAGCCUCCGUCCGGAAGCAGGUGACCGUCCUCUUGAGGCAUCAUCGGGCCAGUUGUGUCCUAACACCACACCACAGUGCCUACGCCAUUCCCCUCAUUUCGUCUCAUCUCAAGAAGGAGGAAGAUCUUCAGCGGUGUGUGAGUCAGACAGAAACAUCCACAACCAGCAUGCUGCCCAGCCACAGGUCACCAUGUGCGUCUUGAACUGCAGCGCUCUGUCCGCCGCUGGCCUCAGUGCAUCUGCGUGACAAUCCUAAGGGCUUCUGACGAGAACAUGAUUCCUGGUCAUGCUUCGGGAUGCGUAGAUGUUGAGCUUCAUGUAGACGCGUGGAGCUUUAACCUUAAAUGAAGCUAAAUGAUGAGGGUGGACUGAAGGGAAAAUGUCAUGUAUUAAAUGCCAACUAUAUUAAAUAUAUAUUAAAUAUGUUAGUUUACUUAUUCUUACUCCCUAACGUAGGCGCCGUCACCAUUUUUCAGCACGUCAACGCCUGCUCGGAGAGGUUCCCUGAGUUCCCAGGCUGGCAAGUUGGCUGCGUCUGUCUGGGAUCCCAUGUGAGUUUGCCUGCAGAGCCUGGAAAACAGAGCAGAAAAGCAAUCCUAUUUGGAGAAAUUCUGUCAGGAAAGAAGGCAAUGACAUGCGCACACGCAGAGUUCAAACCCGUGCGUUUGGAUCUUCAGAAGGGCGCAGCAGGGCACACGGCCAUGAAGCACAGGAGUCCUAUUCUGAUGAAUCAUGCUCCGCUCCCCGCAUGACCUUAUUAGCGCCACUUCCUUCUCCAGGCCCGACGUGGGAAAGCACAGUGAGCUGGAGAGUCCCACAGGUUUCCCCCAGCCCAGGUCACCUCUGAGUUUCUGCGCCUGAUUAAACUUGGCAUCCAGAGAAACCAAGGGACCAUGCAUCCUGGUCCAACGAAGUCAGGCAAGAUAUUUCCCAGGGGACAUUCUGUUUUAAGUGAAAGGCAUUCUAAUACUUGCCUCCAAACCAGAUACAAGGUGUUUCUCUCUCAAAUCCUUCUAAAUAAUGAGAGUUACCAUGUACUGUUUGUCAGGCACUGUUGGAAGCACUUAAAUUGUCUGAAUGUUGUUCAUUUCCACAACCCUGAGAGAUAGGUACUAUUAUUUUUCCCAUUUUAUAGGCAAAAACCCCAAAACAGAACCUCUAAAUCAUUCAAGUUGUCAGAGUUUGCUUAGCUUAUAAGUGGCAAAGCUGGGAUUUCCACCUGAAAGUCUGGUUCCUGGUCUGUGCCCCUCACCGCCCUGUACUGUAAAUUGUUUCUCGACCAGAAGUGGCCUGCAUUGCCCAGUAGGAGGCAUGAGGAAGAAGUUACUGUUGGCAAAGACGUCAGAGAAGUUUGAGAGGUGGUGAGUUCAGAAGGGAGGCAUUUGGGAGCUGUAGGUAAGAGAGGUGCUGCUUUCUCAGGAAUGUUUGCACAGAGAAAUAGCUUUGCUGGCUCACGGGUGCCUUGGUUCCACACCCAAGUCCUGAGAUACCCCUGGCUGCCAACAAGACUGCUCACAUCCAGCAGCAACUCCCUGCCAAGGGCAAAGGUUAAUCUGCGUUGGAACAGGGAUGAGCAAAGAGACCUAAAUCCAAAGUAGGUUUCCAAAGAGACUGACUAUUGGCUGCCUGAUAGAGGGUACAGUGCGACUUGUGUGAACUUAGGUUCACGGCCAGGCCGAAAAGGGAUUGCCUUGUCUACUAAGAGCCCCACUCCCAGGCCAUGCUUUCACCACCAUGUGGGCAUAAGGAACC
ensembl:lncRNA